GUUGAUUGAAAAAUCCCAAAUCAGAUCUCUCAUUUCGCCCACGUGAGGUUGCAGUGCCGCCUCCCUCCUCUCCGGAUUCCAUGGGGAAAGUACGACCUCACUUCUCUUCCACCUCCCUUCAUCUUCAAUUUUCGCCCCUUUUCCCCGAUUUCUCUCUAUUGCGACUGUAGCAACAUCACGUAUUUCCCCUGCUCUAGCUGUGAUCGACGUCACUCUGUUCAAAAGAUGUAUUUUUCACAAUUUUCUGCUUCUUCCCGUGGCUUCUCCGGCGCUGGCUAUCACAUCUCCCGUCAACCAUUGCGUGGAGCCUUAUACCUGGAAGCGAUCUGUGGAGAGUGAAAGUCAGGGUUCUUGAGGUGUGGGAGCUUUGUACUGUUGGAGAACCAAUGAAUCCAUUUGGUAUCCAGAUGGUUCUCCUUGAUGCUGAGGACCUCCAAAGUGAGGGAACCAUAUGCAUUUAAUAAAGUUUUCAGCAGUAGUUGGUGGAGUAAGAAGCCUAUGUUAUGCAGGAGCAAGAUUAUGCAUUAGGCUAGGAGCUUUGGACAUUUAGAGGGAAUGAGCAAAAAGUUAGAACAUGAAUUAGGCAAGAGACAGAACCCCUUGGACAUUUUUCUUAUCCCAAUACAAUGGUGACUGCCGCCUAACAUGAUGCAUUACCAGAGCAGUCCGAGGGAUACAUCCAAGUAUUUCUUGAUGGAUGAUUACAAAAACAUCCUUUCUUAAAAGGAUUGCAAUAGCAAAGGACAAAAAGUUUAUAUUGAGUUUUGUCACCAUUGGGUUCAAUAGGGACCAAAUCUUGCACUUUAGCGUGGGCCAAAAGAGGGCUAUGAUUCACAUAUGACCCAACAAUAUGAGGUGAGUCUAAGCCGCAGUAGCUGUUGUUGUUAAGUAGUAUAUUUUUAUCAAGUGGAUAGUCUACCUUUGUCAGUAUGUGAUACCUGUGUAAGUAUGUGGUCUAAUUCUAUGGUUAUGCAGGGGUUAUCAAAAGUUAGCUGCCUUGGGAGAUUUCUGUGAACUUUCUAUUUUCUGAUUUUUGGGUUUGCUCUCUCUCUCUCUCUCAUGAUAGAAUUUCUUGGACAUCCAUUUGCUUGGUUUGAUCAUUAUGUGCUCUUUUGUUUUAUCCAUCACAAGAAGCAGAUCAAACUGCUGCCUAAAGUAUUCUUUCUAGCUUUAAGAAAAACUUUUGUAUUGUUCGCCUAAUUUUGGGAUUUAUCAAUAGCUAAGUUUCUGUUUGAUGCACUACUAUAAUAGUUAUAGAAUUAUUUUUCAUGAAAUUGACUUGAAUAAAAUGGAUUUGGAAUUUGAUGUCAUUGUAUUGUUGUGCAAGCUAAGAUCUAAUACUUUACAAAUAUAAGAUAAGAAGUCAAUGGGGUAAUCAAAUAGAAGUUUGCAGAGAAAGCUUAGGCCUUUUAAUCCUAUAACUAACCCCGUUAGAGAUCAAUUUUCCCUUUUGCCUACAACCCCAAGGAUUGAAAAGAAUGGUUUGAGUGAAUAGCAAAUAAUGUCUAAGUCAAACUAUAUAAGCUAGAUAAGUAAUGCAGUGAUUUCAGAAUUUUCUGUUUGUUACCUAUAUAAAUUUUGAAAAGUAAGUCCUACUUAUGUAAUCUGCUCUUACUAUAAUCUGUUUACCACUUUUAUUGAGGUUGUUUCUUCAAAAGCAUUCAUUUAGUUGGAGAGACUUAAAAACUAAGUUAAUCAUCUAUGCAGAAUUGUGAACUCAAAGAAUUCGUGAAGCUAUUUCGGCACAUGCAGUCUUAUCUCUUCCAGGAACUGAUUGAUUAAUUCUAGCUCUAUAAGGCUGUUUAUUUUGUUCACCAUCGAUUUCGGAGGCGGGACAAAAGAACCAAUUUGCUUUUGUCUUUGUUCUCCAAUUUGGAUAAACUUUUGGCACCAAAGACCAUGUCACAUCAGCUUAUGGGUUGGUAUCCUUGCAUUACACAAAACAUUGAGUGAUCAACCAAGGAAUCCCUUGGUUGUUGCUGCAUUUAGACUUGCAGUUCAUAGUGGUGGAAAUUUGUUGGAAGCAGUAGACAUAUCUAGGAGGAUCAACAAACCGCAUGAUGACAGAUUUCUUGAAUUAUAAAUUAUUAGAUACUUCAGAUCUGGAUGCAGAGGCUUUGGCAGAUGAGAUUUUGGAUCUUGCGGAGUCUGUUAAAGAGUCACUGUUACAGAUGACAACUAGGCAUAUGGUAUCUCAAGCUAUGGCUGACUAUCCUCAAGCUCCUCAUUCAGAUAUGGUUUUCAUCCCUUUAGGAAUGUACCUAAAAGCUGUCAGUAUUUUUGAUUGUUUAAGAGCAAGGGUUGGUAGGAAAUUUUUGUCAAAGCAAGGUAGAAAAACUGAUUUUGAGUCCUUAGCUGCAAGAAGUACGACACAUGUUAGCAAUGGUUGUAUUUGAUACUGUAUAUCCACUGCACUGGGACCCAGAUCAGUCUUGAAAGUGCACUGAAUUUGCUGGAGACAAUUUGAAGUUUAUUAGUAAAUGAAAUUGUGAGAAAGUUGAUGCU